UACAGAGGUCUCAAGCGUUGUUCGGAUUCAUUGGGCGUAAAGGGUGCGUAGGCGGCGCGGCAAGUCGGGUGUGAAAUCUUGGAGCUUAACUCCGAAACUGCAUUCGAUACUGCCGUGCUUGAGGACUGGAGAGGAGACUGGAAUUUACGGUGUAGCGGUGAAAUGCGUAGAUAUCAGGAGGAACACCGGUGGCGAAGGCGGAUCUCUGGGCCGAUACUGACGCUGAGGAGCGAAAGCGUGGGGAGCGAACAGG
rnacentral:rRNA from 1 species